UACGAAGGGGGCUAGCGUUGUUCGGAAUUACUGGGCGUAAAGGGCGCGUAGGUGGCCUGUGGAAGUCUGCGGUGAAAGCCCGGCGCUCAACGCCGGGUCGGCCGUGGAUACUCUCGGGCUUGAGCUUACUAGAGGCAGAUGGAAUUCCGGGUGUAGCGGUGGAAUGCGUAGAGAUCCGGAGGAACACCAGUGGCGAAGGCGGCUGGCUGGACCUGACCUGACGCUGAGGCGCGAAGGCGUGGGGAGCGAACGGG
rnacentral:rRNA from 1 species